rnacentral:rRNA from 1 species
UACGUAGGGGGCAAGCGUUGUCCGGAAUUAUUGGGCGUAAAGGGCGUGUAGGCGGUCAGACGAGUCUGCUGUGAAAACUCGAGGCUCAACCUCGAGCUGUCGGUGGAAACUGUCUGGCUAGAGUCCGGAAGAGGAGAGUGGAAUUCCUGGUGUAGCGGUGAAAUGCGCAGAUAUCAGGAAGAACACCUAUGGCGAAGGCAGCUCUCUGGGACGGUACUGACGCUGAGACGCGAAAGCGUGGGGAGCGAACAGG